AUUGAACGCUGGCGGCAGGCCUAACACAUGCAAGUCGAACGAGUGGCGGACGGGUGAGUAAUUUCUGGGAAACUGCCUGAUGGAGGGGGCUAACUACUGGAAACGGUAGAUAAUACCGCAUACCAUCAGAUGUGCCCAGAUGGGAUUAGCUAGUUGGUGGGGUAACGGCUCACCAAGGCGACGAUCCCUAGCUGGUCUGAGAGGAUGACCAGCCACACUGGAACUGAGACACGGUCCAGACUCCUACGGGAGGCAGCAGUGGGGAAUAUUGGACAAUGGGCGCAAGCCUGAUGCAGCCAUGCCGCGUGUAUGAAGAAGGCCUUCGGGUUGUAAAGCACUUUCAGCGGGGAGGCGGUACCCGAAGAAGAAGCACCGGCUAACUCCGUGCCAGCAGCCGCGGUAAUAC
rnacentral:rRNA from 1 species